rnacentral:ncRNA from 2 species
UUGCAGCUGUUCAAUGAAGGUGAAGUUAACCGUUCUAAAAAGGGAAUGCUGUGAAAAUCGGCGACAGUACCCGCUGCUGUAAUUCUCGAAGAGCCGAAACAAGAUGCCACUGCAAAUCAUUGUGGGAAGGCGUUUCCGGGGAGAGAUAAGUCAGAAAACCUGCCUCAUAGAACAAACAAGU